rnacentral:lncRNA from 1 species
UCCUCCUUCAUAAGCCUCGAGGCACUGUGUCCAACAGGCUCCUCUCUCUCUCUCCUUCAGCAACACCAUACCAACAGAACUGCGUGGCAAUAAGGAGAGAUUCCUAAACAUGUGCUGCAAGAGCGUCUUCUUUCUACCUCCCGAGUCAGACAUGCCAGAGACAGAAGGAGCGCUCUACGCCAAGGUAUGUGCUGGGUGAGGUACCGGCACCCCCAGUCCUGCUGAGCUGCUGCCUUGCUUCCCCGUGCUGACACAACCAGAGACCAGUGCAGGGCCGGGACCCAGAUUUGCUUUCCCAGCCUCACGCCUUCCCCUUCCCCGACCUGAUCUUGUGCUGCAGGAGGUCUGCACGCAGCGGCUUUUUAGCCCCAAAGCCACCCCUGAACUCCCAAGGGGCUCAGAGCCAGCUCCUGGGGGUGAGGAGGGCCACAGAAAUAAUUCGAUGCUCUUCUGUCCUCCCUGCAGACUAUGGAUGCCUUGGACACCAUGCUGGCGGCCUUCGUACGCAACUGUCCCAACACCAGUGUCAGCAUAGAGUUGGAGAAUAUCUUGGAGGCGCUGCUGGACUUUGCCCUCUCCAAAGACCCAGCUGUGUGUGAGAGAGCUGUGAGAAGGAUUGAGAGGCUGCCUCACCCAGAACUCAGAUGACUAUGAAAAAUACAAGCACAGCUACAAUGAUUCCAGAGAGCUCUACAUCCCCAUCCUGGGACAGCUGCUGGGCCACCUCUUCAUUUUCUGCAGUGGCGAUGAAUCCAUGAGAAACGCAGCUUUGGAUGUUCUUUAUCGCUUCUUCAAAAUCUUAACGGAAACAAGAGGUAAGAAGUUGUGGUGGGCAGCGUCUGUCCUAUCACAGACAUCUCCUGUUAUGUCUGCUUGUUCUCCUGAGUAUUGUGAAGGAUUGUUUUUGUG